UACGUAGGGACCGAGCGUUGUCCGGAUUCAUUGGGCGUAAAGGGCUCGUAGGCGGCUGCUCAAGUCGAAUGUGAAAACUCGAGGCUCAACCUCGAGCCUGCAUUCGAUACUGGGCGGCUAGAGUCUGGUAGGGGGAUCUGGAAUUCCUGGUGUAGCGGUGGAAUGCGCAGAUAUCAGGAGGAACACCGGUGGCGAAGGCGGGAUCCUGGGCCAGUACUGACGCUGAUGAACGAAAGCGUGGGGAGCAAACAGG
rnacentral:rRNA from 1 species